rnacentral:rRNA from 1 species
GUGACCUCAAGUCAGGUGAGGCUACCCGUUGAGUUUAAGCA